rnacentral:misc_RNA from 1 species
AAAGUCGUAACAAGGUUUCCGUAGGUGAACCUGCGGAAGGAUCAUUAAAAAGAGUGGUGAGUUUUUUUUUGGAGGGGGGCCAUUUGUUUGGCUUUUUUUCACUGGGGGCCCACUGCAACUUGAAUGAAAAUUGGUGUGGAACUUUCGGGUUCUAUUCCUAGCCCUGUGGCCCUGUAAAGAGGACACUUGGCAAAAACCCCUUUUUUGUGAACUGGCCAAACUAUAACUAUACUAUAGCCAUUGACUUUCGAAACUUGACUGAAUGAUAUAUAAUAAUAAUAAAACUAUACAACUUUCAACAACGGAUCUCUUGGCUCUC